rnacentral:tmRNA from 1 species
GGGGGCGUAAAGGUUUCGACGGGGAUAAGGAAGCUGAUGAAGCAGGUGGAUGUAUGGAGCAUCCUUAAAAUCCAUAAUUUAAAUUUAAACGCUAACGAUAAUUUAGCUUACGCUGCCUAAUUAAGGCAGCCGUCCAACCCGCAUUACUGCGGUGCGGAGGCGGGCGUCAACUACGCAGUGAACGUGAAUUUGUAAAGCUUUGAACAAGUCAUGAAUAAUGAAGCUACUAAGUCUUUAGGUUUGUUUGCGGAACUAAAGACGAGGGAAUUUUCAGCCACAAACUAAACUUGUAGAAACAUCAGUGGAAAGAUUUUCGGACGGGAGUUCAAUUCUCCCCGCCUCCACCA